GCCUUGCUAGCUCAAUGGCUAGAGCGUGUGACUUUUAAUCCCAAGGUUGCGGGUUCGAGUCCCGCGUGAGGCU